rnacentral:misc_RNA from 1 species
AACGCACCUUGCGCUCCUUGGUAUUCCGAGGAGCAUGCCUGUUUGAGUGUCAUUAAAUUCUCAACUAUUAUCAACUUUUGCUGAUAAUGGCUUGGAUGUGGGGGUCUAUUUUGCUGGCUUCUCAGAUAGUCAGCUCCCCUUAAAUGCAUUAGCCGGUGCCCUGGGUGGACUGUCUAUUGGUGUGAUAAUUAUCUACGCUAUAGACAUCUGCAAUCAUAUGGGUUUGCGCUGCUUCUAACAGUCUGUUGAUUCAGACAAUACAUGACAAUUUGACCUCAAAUCAGGUAGGACUACCCGCUGAACUUAA